rnacentral:rRNA from 1 species
UUUUCCGGUUGAUCCUGCCGGAGGUUACUGCUAUCGGGGUUCGAUUAAGCCAUGCGAGUCAAAUGUUCUUCGUGAACAUGGCGAACUGCUCAGUAACACGUGGAUAAUCUACCCUUAGGUUUGGAAUAACCCCGGGAAACUGGGGAUAAUACCGGAUAGAUCAUAGAUGCUGGAAUGCCCUAUGGUCUAAAGCUCCGGCGCCUAAGGAUGAGUCUGCGGUCUAUCAGGUUGUAGUGGGUGUAACGUACCUACUAGCCGACGACGGAUACGGGUUGUGAGAGCAAGAGCCCGGAGAUGGAUUCUGAGACACGAAUCCAGGCCCUACGGGGUGCAGCAGGCGCGAACACUUUACAAUGCGGGAAACCGCGAUAAGGGAACCCCGAGUGCCAGCACCAAGUGUUGGCUGUCCAGAUGAUUAAAUCUCAUUUGUUAGCAAGGGCCGGGCAAGACCGGUGCCAGCCGCCGCGGUAACACCGGCGGCCCGAGUGGUAACCGUUUUUAUUGGGUCUAAAGGGUCCGUAGCCGGUCUGAUCAGUCUUUUGGGAAAUCUGGCAGCUUAACUGUCAGGCUUCUAAGAGAUACUGUCAGACUUGGGACCGGGAGAGGUAAGGGGUACUCCAAGGGUAGGAGUGAAAUCUUGUAAUCCUUGGGGGACCAUCUGUGGCGAAGGCGCCUUACCAGAACGGGUCCGACGGUGAGGGACGAAAGCUAGGGGAGCAAACCGGAUUAGAUACCCGGGUAGCCCUAGCUGUAAACGAUGCUCGCUAGGUGUCAGGCACGGUGCGUCCGUGUUUGGUGCCGUAGGGAAGCCGAGAAGCGAGCCACCUGGGAAGUACGGUCGCAAGGCUGAAACUUAAAG